rnacentral:rRNA from 1 species
UACGAAGGGGGCUAGCGUUGUUCGGAAUUACUGGGCGUAAAGCGCACGUAGGCGGAUAUUUAAGUCAGGGGUGAAAUCCCAGAGCUCAACUCCAGAACUGCCUUUGAUACUGGGAGUCUUGAGUUCGGGAGAGGUGAGUGGAACUGCGAGUGUAGAGGUGAAAUUCGUAGAUAUUCGGAAGAACACCAGUGGCGAAGGCGGCUCACUGGCCCGGUACUGACGCUGAGGUGCGAAAGCGUGGGGAGCAAACAGG